rnacentral:rRNA from 1 species
CCUACGGGUGGCAGCAGUGAGGAAUAUUGGGCAAUGGACGAGAGUCUGAACCAGCCAAGUAGCGUGAAGGAUGAAUGCCCUAUGGGUUGUAAACUUCUUUUAUAUGGGAAUAAAACGUUCCACGUGUGGGAUUUUGUAUGUAGCAUAUGAAUAAGGAUCGGCUAACGCCGUGCCAGCAGCCGCGGUAAUACGGAGGAUCCGAGCGUUAUCCGGAUUUAUUGGGUUUAAAGGGAGCGUAGGUGGAUUGUUAAGUCAGUUGUGAAAGUUUGCGGCUCAACCGUAAAAUUGCAGUUGAAACUGGCAGUCUUGAGUACAGUAGAGGUGAGCGGAAUUCGUGGUGUAGCGGUGAAAUGCUUAGAUAUCACGAAGAACUCCGAUUGCGAAGGCAGUUCACUGGACUGCAACUGACACUGAGGCUCGAAAGUGUGGGUAUCAAACAGGAGUAGAUACCCCGGUAGUC